GCCCCAGUGACCGAGUGGACAUAGGUACCGGUCUUCUAAACCGGCUUACGCAGGUUCGAAUCCUGCCUGGGGCG
rnacentral:tRNA from 1 species